AACGAACGCUGGCGGCAUGCCUAACACAUGCAGGUCGAACGAGACCUUCGGGUCUAGUGGCGCACGGGUGCGUAACGCGUGGGAACCUGCCCUUAGGUUCGGAAUAACUCCCCGAAAGGGGUGCUAAUACCGGAUAAUGUCUUCGGACCAAAGAUUUAUCGCCUUUGGAUGGGCCCGCGUUGGAUUAGCUAGUUGGUAGGGUAAAAGCCUACCAAGGCGACAAUCCAUAGCUGGUCUGAGAGGAUGAUCAGCCACACUGGGACUGAGACACGGCCCAGACUCCUACGGGAGGCAGCAGUGGGGAAUAUUGGACAAUGGGCGAAAGCCUGAUCCAGCAAUGCCGCGUGAGUGAUGAAGGCCUUAGGGUUGUAAAGCUCUUUUACCCGGGAUGAUAAUGACAGUACCGGGAGAAUAAGCUCCGGCUAACUCCGUG
rnacentral:rRNA from 1 species